AAAUAAAAUAGCUAAUAGAUACUGAUUUUGCAUAGUACUUGUAAUAAUAAAAAUAUUAAAUUACAAAGAUAACAGAGAUUAAUUAUUACAGUCACUACAUCCUCAAUUAUGACUAAAUAAAAACACUAGCCACAGAAGUUAGCGACUGUCUCAUCCCAACUAAAGCACAACAGCAACAACCCAACAAAAAUUACAUUUUGGACCAACCAAUAAAAAAAAAACAAUUGGUUAUACAAUAUUUUAUUAAGCACACUAGCAAUAGAACUUCAUUCCCUACGGUUGCUCUAUGAUAGCAAUUGUAGAAACCGUUUAAAGUGGAGAUAUAAAAUUUCUUUUUCUCUUAACAAUAUAGAAUAAUAGAAAAGACUAAAACUAUAAAGAUAGAAGUAACUUCUUUUGUCUGUUAUUUAAAAUGAACAAACAAUAUGUUUUGUUAUAAUUUAAUUCUUUAAAUAUUUUUUCUCUCCUAUUUAAUCUUAGAAAUAUAUGAAAAUAAUAAAUAAUUCUUAAAAUAUAUGAAAUUUUAGUAUCUUGUCAAUGUGUUAGAAAAAACUAAUAUGACAAAUUUUCAUAUGUUUCAAUAAUUAGUUAUUAUUUUAAUAUAUUUUAUAAGUUAAAUAGGAAAAAGAACGAUAUUUUAAAAACUAAAUUGAAGAUAAUGAUUUCUCUUAACUGGAAAAACAUGUAAGAGAAUCACGGUGGAAGGAUUUAUGAGGAAACAUCAGAAUUGUAAGCACUUGGUGGUGGUGUUGAUGUUGUAGAGCCACCAUCUUUGUCAUCACCAUUUUCCUUGGAUUUUCCAUCUCUUGAGAUUGAAGAGGAAACAAACUUGAUCAAGUUGCUAAAUAUUUGAGCUUUGAUGUACCCUCUUUUAGGGGGAAGUUUUGCUUUCUCCUUUUGAGGUGUAGAAGUCAUUCUGUGUUUAUAUAUUUAAUUUAUUCCUGAAUUAAAAAAAAAAACAAAAAAAAAACAAAGAGUUAGUAUAUAAAAAAGAAGGGAGAGAGAGAAGUUUUGGAGAGAAA
rnacentral:lncRNA from 1 species